rnacentral:rRNA from 1 species
AACGAACGCUGGCGGCAUGCCUAACACAUGCAAGUCGAACGAGACCUUCGGGUCUAGUGGCGCACGGGUGCGUAACGCGUGGGAAUCUACCCUCAGGUUCGGAAUAACUCAGAGAAAUUUGAGCUAAUACCGGAUGAUGACGUAAGUCCAAAGAUUUAUCGCCUGAGGAUGAGCCCGCGUAGGAUUAGGUAGUUGGUGAGGUAAAGGCUCACCAAGCCGACGAUCCUUAGCUGGUCUGAGAGGAUGAUCAGCCACACUGGGACUGAGACACGGCCCAGACUCCUACGGGAGGGAGCAGUGGGGAAUAUUGGACAAUGGGCGAAAGCCUGAUCCAGCAAUGCGGCGUGAGUGAUGAAGGCCUUAGGGUUGUAAAGCUCUUUUACCCGGGAUGAUAAUGACAGUACCGGGAGAAUAAGCACCGGCUAACUCCGUG